GACGAACGCUGGCGGCGCGCUUAACACAUGCAAGUCGAACGGAAAGGCCUGCUUUCCCUUGUGGAUUGCGGGUACUCGAGUGGCGAACGGGUGAGUAACACGUGAGUGAUCUGCCCCCAACUUGGGUAUAAGCCUGGGAAACUGGGUCUAAUUCCCGAUAGGACUGCAGGGUGGUGCCUGUGGUGGAAAACGAUUUUCUAGUGGUUGGGGAUGAGCUCGCGGCCUAUCAGCUUGUUGGUGGGGUAAUGGCCUACCAAGGCGGCGACGGGUAGCCGGCCUGAGAGGGUGGACGGCCACAGUGGGACUGAGAUACGGCCCAGACUCCUACGGGAGGCAGCAGGGGGGAAUAUUGCACAAUGGGCGGAAGCCUGAUGCAGCGACGCCGCGUGGGGGAUGACGGCCUUCGGGUUGUAAACUCCUUUCGACCGCGAGGAAGCCACCUGGUUGGAAGGGUGGUGACGGUAGUGGUAGAAGAAGCACCGGCUAACUACGUG
rnacentral:rRNA from 1 species